AAAAUACUUUACAGUAAUUAAUUUUCACAGAGCUGCAUUUCAUCAGCAGGAACUUCAAAUCUCAUGUAGCCAAUUAGUUUGAAUGAUCUUUUUUCACUGUUAUGUUAAGUACUUUACAGAAAUGUUAAACUUUCUUAUUGCAGAAAAAAUAAUAUACAGUACCUGUAUUAGAAAAAAGAUCUUAAGUGCAUGUUUAUAUUCUUUAUUGUGUGUGAAAAUGCAGUAGGAAACAGUGAUGGCUUAUUCAUAGAGACUGUUUAAGAAACUGCUUUAAAGAUAGAGCUAACAUGAUGUAGACAGUGUUAUGACAAUUUGAUCUGUUUUAAAACUUAUAAUGAUGACCAUUGCCUUCAAGCAAGAUAUGCCAUGAUUGGUACUUGAUAUCCUCUAAGAAGAACUGAACUACAAUAAGUUAAUCUUAAAAAGUAUUAUCAUUGUUGUCUCCUCUAACAGUGUGUUUAUUACAGCCGUACCCUGACCUGUGUGCACGAUGCCAUUCUGGAGGACCUUGUUUUCCCCGCUGAGAUCGUAGGAAAGAGGAUCAGGGUUAGACUUGAUGGCUCCAGGCUCAUCAAGGUCCAUCUUGACAAGGCUCAGCAAACCAACAUUGAACACAAGAUUGACAAGUUUACUGCCGUCUACAAGAAAUUAACUGGCAAAGAGACGAAUUUUGUUUUCCCUGAUACUUAUUUAAUAAUGUUAAGAUAAAAGAUAAAAAAUG